rnacentral:rRNA from 1 species
UACAGAGGGUGCAAGCGUUAAUCGGAAUUACUGGGCGUAAAGCGCGCGUAGGUGGUUGGUUAAGUUGGAUGUGAAGGCCCCGGGCUCAACCUGGGAACUGCAUCCAAAACUGGCCAGCUAGAGUACGGUAGAGGGUGGUGGAAUUUCCUGUGUAGCGGUGAAAUGCGUAGAUAUAGGAAGGAACACCAGUGGCGAAGGCGACCACCUGGACUGAUACUGACACUGAGGUGCGAAAGCGUGGGGAGCAAACAGG